GGGGCUAUAGCUCAGCGGUUAGAGCAGAGGACUCAUAAUCCUUUGGUCCCCGGUUCAAAUCCGGGUGGCCCUACCA
rnacentral:tRNA from 4 species